AUUGAACGCUGGCGGCAGGCCUAACACAUGCAAGUCGAGCGGAUGAAGGGAGCUUGCUCCUGGAUUCAGCGGCGGACGGGUGAGUAAUGCCUAGGAAUCUGCCUGGUAGUGGGGGAUAACGUCCGGAAACGGGCGCUAAUACCGCAUACGUCCUGAGGGAGAAAGUGGGGGAUCUUCGGACCUCACGCUAUCAGAUGAGCCUAGGUCGGAUUAGCUAGUUGGUGGGGUAAAGGCCUACCAAGGCGACGUUCCGUAACUGGUCUGAGAGGAUGAUCAGUCACACGGGAACUAGGAAACGGUCCGGACUCUUACGGGAGGCAGCGUUGGGAAUAUUGGACAAUGGGCGAAAGCCUGAUCCAGCCAUGCCGCGUGUGUGAAGAAGGUCUUCGGAUUGUAAAGCACUUUAAGUUGGGAGGAAGGGCAGUAAGUUAAUACCUUGCUGUUUUGACGUUACCAACAGAAUAAGCACCGGCUAACUUCGUG
rnacentral:rRNA from 1 species